rnacentral:rRNA from 1 species
UACGUAGGCAGCAAGCGUUGUUCGGAAUUACUGGGCGUAAAGAGUGUGUAGGCGGUGCUCUAAGUUUGGUGUGAAAUCUCCCGGCUUAACUGGGAGGGUGCAUCGAAAACUGGAGUGCUCGAGGGUGGGAGAGGUAAGCGGAAUUCCUGGUGUAGCGGUGAAAUGCGUAGAUAUCAGGAGGAACACCUGUGGUGUAGACAGCUUACUGGACCACUUCUGACGCUGAGACACGAAAGCGUGGGUAGCAAACAGG